CCGGAUGGGGUAUCAGUCAUCAUAAGGGUGCGAGUAUUAAAAGUUUUAUGCAUAACAUCAACCAGUCCUUUCCACUGAGUGCUAAGCUUUCAAGUAUAAAAAUGGACCAACAAUUGGCGUGGCAAGCCAAACUAUAAUAGUUGAAACAGUUGAAAACUAGCUUGUGAUCUUCUAAGAGGUAAUGAUGCAUGCCUACGGCUCUGCAAAGACAAAUAUGGACAAAUGUGGUAGUAUCAAAGAACUGCCUAUCAAUUGGAAGGUCUCUUUUAGACAUAGCAAAAGAUGGAGUUUAUUAACGAACUGAUAGAGGAGACUAAGUAUGAGAUAUUAUGAUUGGUUUUCUGAUGAACAUGCUGUUCAUUUGGAUCCCUGGUUUGAAACCAAGGAGCAGGGAGGACUAUGCUUUGUUAUUAAUUUACAAAAGAUCAACACUAGUGAAACAUUUCAUCGGGGGAACAACAUGUGGACAACUAUGACAUGACACCACGGUGAUACUACCUAUUGAUGACACAUGAGGGUUCCCAAGAUAGUGUCAAUGUGGGUCAAAACUUCAGUAAGGUUUUGGCAAGGCUUCCAAAGACAGUACCAAUGGAGCAAGGCUUCGUUGAGGCUCCAGAAGAUAAUACUGAUGCAGUAAGGCUUUGGUGAGGAAAUCCUGACAAUGGCACAGCUUUUGCAAGGCUUUGCAAGCCUUCCUGAAACAGACCUAAUGUGGUAAUGGUUGGCAAGGGUUGUACUCAGCAAAAUCAUUGGCACCAUCGCUCAGCACAGUCAGCAUGCCUCGUUCUGGGCAAGGAUAGAAAUCCCACUUGGAACAAAGAUUUCAAACCUUUUAUUGGAAUUCUAGUUGUGUCCAUUCAAAUAUUAAUUUAGGUACUUUUACCUAUAUGGAUUAUUCCACAUGCAUGACUUGUUUCUUUAUAGUGAAAGACCAGUUUGAAAGUCUGAAGUUUUUUAUUCUCUUCACAUAAUUUGGACCUGCUAUUCGUGGAUUGAGAAAUG